rnacentral:rRNA from 1 species
UACGUAGGGUGCGAGCGUUGUCCGGAAUUACUGGGCGUAAAGAGCUCGUAGGUGGUUUGUCGCGUUGUCCGUGAAAACUCACAACUCAAUUGUGGGCGUGCGGGCGAUACGGGCAGACUGGAGUACUGCAGGGGAGACUGGAAUUCCUGGUGUAGCGGUGGAAUGCGCAGAUAUCAGGAGGAACACCGGUGGCGAAGGCGGCACUCUGGGGCUGGAAACUGACGCUGAGGAGCGAAAGCGUGGGGAGCAAACAGGA